rnacentral:rRNA from 1 species
CCCUUAGAUGUUCUGGGCUGCACGCGUGCUACACUGAUAUUGCCAAUAUGUCAUUCUCAUCCGAAAUGGAUUGGGUAAUCAAGUAAUGAAAUUUCAUGCUUGGAAUCGGUAAUUGCAAUUUUAUCGUGAACGAGGAAUUCCUAGUAAGCACUAGUCAUCAGCUAAUGUUGAUUAUGUCCCUGCCCUUUGUACACACCGCCCGUCGCUACUACUGAUUGGGUGUUCAAGUGAGAUGCUUAGACCCUUGUUGCAUGGUUCAUUAUUGUGCUCCGAAAGGAAAAAGUUUCAAGCUUGAGUGUCUAGAGGAAGUAAAAGUCGUAACA